rnacentral:lncRNA from 1 species
UUUGACCCAUGAAUACUCAUCCAUCACCCACACCUCACAAUCGGUAUCUCUUACCCUCGACAUCACACAAACCUUUCCACCCAAAACUCCCACCACAUUCAACCGAUCUCCAAAGCAACAUGUUCUUAAAGAAUCUGGAAAAGGUAUCUCCUUGAAUCUCUCUGAACACAAAUCAAAUGCCAAUAUCAAUUGUGUCAACUUCCCACCAAUAUAAGUAUAACAAAACCAAUGAAGAUGGCCUUCAUGCCCAUCUACACAAACUAAAUCUAGAUCUCUAAUGCAUUGCAGGUGUGAUGGAAUUCUUUGAGAUACCAACUCCCAGGAACCUUUACCUUUUCUCAGGCUAUAAACCUCAACUGGUGCUAUUCUUCGUGGGUCGAAAAGCUCUGUAAGCUUAACAACUUUGUAAUCAUCGGUUUUGGGAUCAUACCCAAACAGGAAAUUGAUAUUUCUUGAUUCAGAGGAGGAGCCCAUGGAACAUGGCGGAAGAGUUAAGAAAGCGGAGAGAGAAUGGUUCUGAAUACAAACGAUAUAAUCAUCACCUGAUUCAUACUUAAAACAUAUUAACCCUUUCACACAUCCAACGACAUUGCCAAAACAACGUGCAGGUUGAGAUUCGAGAUUAACGGGGAAUUUGAAGAAAUUGUCGAGUUC